CGGGGUGUAGCUCAGUUUGGUGGAGCGCUUGCUUCGGGAGCAAGAGGUCGCAAGUUCAAAUCUUGUCACUCCGACCA
rnacentral:tRNA from 1 species